rnacentral:rRNA from 1 species
AGCAGCCGCGGUAAUUCCAGCUCCAAUAGCGUAUAUUAAAGUUGUUGCAGUUAAAAAGCUCGUAGUUGAAUUUCGGGAUCAAUUUAUUGGUCGUGCUAUUGUACGUACUGGUAUUAUUGAUUCCUACCUUCUGACGAACCAUGAUGUCAUUAAUUUGGUGUCAUGGGGAAUCAGGACUGUUACUUUGAAAAAAUUAGAGUGUUUAAAGCAGGCUCAUGCUUGAAUACAUUAGCAUGGAAUAACGAAAUAGGACGUUUGAUUCUAUUUUGUUGGUUUCUAGGAUCGACGUAAUGAUUAAUAGGGAUAGUUGGGGGCAUUAGUAUUCAAUUGUCAGAGGUGAAAUUCUUGGAUUUAUUGAAGACUAACUACUGCGAAAGCAUUUGCCAAGGAUGUUUUCAUUAAUCAAGAACGAAGGUUAGGGGAUCGAAGACGGUCAGAUACCGUCGUAGUCUUAACCAUAAACUAUGCCGACUAGGGAUCGGAUGAUGUUAAUUUUUAAUGACUCAUUCGGCGCCUUAAC